rnacentral:rRNA from 1 species
UGGGGAAUAUUGGACAAUGGGCGCAAGCCUGAUCCAGCCAUGCCGCGUGAGUGAUGAAGGCACUAGGGUUGUAAAGCUCUUUCACCGGUGAAGAUAAUGACGGUAACCGGAGAAGAAGCCCCGGCUAACUUCGUGCCAGCAGCCGCGGUAAUACGAAGGGGGCUAGCGUUGUUCGGAUUUACUGGGCGUAAAGCGCACGUAGGCGGACUAUUAAGUCAGGGGUGAAAUCCCGGGGCUCAACCCCGGAACUGCCUUUGAUACUGGUAGUCUUGAGUUCGAGAGAGGUGAGUGGAAUUCCGAGUGUAGAGGUGAAAUUCGUAGAUAUUCGGAGGAACACCAGUGGCGAAGGCGGCUCACUGGCUCGAUACUGACGCUGAGGUGCGAAAGCGGGGGGAGCAAACAGG